rnacentral:lncRNA from 1 species
CUUAUAAGAGCCGGUAUAUGUAUUAAAAAGCGUCAAUUAUUAUUCUUUUUUUUUAUAGUGGACAGAAGUUUCAAAAUAUUAAAGAUGAUGUUUACUAACUGUUGGGCAGCAAGAGCUUUGAUAUCACCACCUAAUAAAACAUCAUAUAUCAUGUUUUAAAUCUUUGAUGCAAUCCCCUCCAAUGGAAUUACCAUCCGCCAAUCAUUAUGUGGCCUUUCUUCCUAAUAUUUUCUUUUCCAAGAGUGGCCGCUCCACCAUGCUGGAUCAAGCAGGUUACCUCCUAGCAAGGAACCCUCUCUUGGAGUGGUUCUUUACCAUAAUAAUGAAAACAAUAGCCAUUUUUUGUCCAGACCAGUAUUAACCUGAAUUUAUUUGGUAAGAAAAUAAUAGACGUUAUGACAGAUAUUAUCAUCCACUAUAAAUAAAAUAACGUGCAUUAAAUAAAAGCAACAACAUU